AACGCGAAGAACCUUACCAGCCCUUGACAUGUCCCGUAUGAGCACCAGAGACGGUGCUCUUCAGUUCGGCUGGCGGGAACACAGGUGCUGCAUGGCUGUCGUCAGCUCGUGUCGUGAGAUGUUGGGUUAAGUCCCGCAACGAGCGCAACCCUCGCCCUUAGUUGCCAUCAUUUAGUUGGGCACUCUAAGGGGACUGCCGGUGAUAAGCCGGAGGAAGGUGGGGAUGACGUCAAGUCCUCAUGGCCCUUACGGGCUGGGCUACACACGUGCUACAAUGGCGGUGACAGAGGGAUGCAAAAGGGCGACCUUUCGCAAAUCUCAAAAAGCCGUCUCAGUUCGGAUUGGGGUCUGCAACUCGACCCCAUGAAGUUGGAAUCGCUAGUAAUCGCAGAUCAGCACGCUGCGGUGAAUACGUUCCCGGGCCUUGUACACACCGCGUGUCU
rnacentral:rRNA from 1 species